rfam:Schizosaccharomyces cryophilus OY26 unplaced genomic scaffold supercont4.10, whole genome shotgun sequence.
GGCCAGUUGGCCGAGCGGUCUAUGGCGUAGCACUCAAGUGAAAACUUGGACUGUACAAGUCUUGCUAUAUCGAAUGAUGCGAGGGUUCGAAUCCCUCACUGGUCA